AAGGUCGGCGCCUUCCUCGACAGGACGGCCAUGAUGAGGAGGUCGGACUCGGCCGUUAAAAGGCCGCCAUGUUGGACGAGUCAGAGGGUGUUUGGGCUGUGCAUGUCCAGUAAGCAAUUGAGUCAGCUGUCCUGAAAACUGGAGGAUCUCGUUGGAGAAAAAAAAUCACUUGAGCUGAUUGUGAGAAAUCGAACAGUAGCAGGAGGAGGAAGAUGAGAGAAGAAAGGAGCCGCCAUGUCCAAACAGGCAGGCGGGGCACAGUGCAUACUGAUGCAGGUGGUGGCUGGAUCCCUGCUGUGGCUCAUUACUCAGCUUCUCAGAGGCCACCAGGUGAGGGACGGGGACAACCUGGCUGCAGUGCUGAGCUCUGAACAGGGCUGUUCUGCAGCAUGGACAGCACCCUCGUGCCUGCUAGGUACCCUGGUUGUGAACCAAUUCCAUUUUUAAAAGUGCAGACCACACCACCACCACGGGCUCCUCAGUAUCUCAUUUCCCUCCGUUCCACGGAGUUCAGCGCUGCUGUUUAAUCUGGUGAUCUUAAGGAAAAUUUCACGGAGCCUGCUGGGGCCCCGCCCCAGAAAGGGCACCCCCUGCUGGUGGUGAUGGAAGAAGGUAGUUUCACUGUAGAUCUGAGCAGAAGGUGAGGAAAACCCACAAAAUCUGUGUUUUCCAUGGAAAGCGUCAGUGAGCAUUUUUUCCCUGGCUUUUUUGGGGUGUUUUACAGAUAAUGGAGUGAACUGGUGUGGUGGAACCUGGAAGGACGAGGAGGAGUGUUGGACCCAGUUGCUCCCAACCACACGCUUUAUAGAUUCCUGGUCUAGUCUUCAUUUCUCUCCCCACAUGCUGUGCAGCCCCCUCUCCCCAUUUACUGCCUGGCCGCAUUUGCGGGGAACCUGCAGCUGCUCUUGCGUUGAUCAGUCCGUGCGUUGAAUGUGAAUGUGUAGCGUGCAAGGUCUGGGUCCCCUGCAAGGUUCGAAUGUUCCUCGGGAACCAGAAGAGGUUCAUUUUAAGCGUUGGGGUCUUCUUGUUCCCUAACUACUCUCUGUGGCUAAGCCCUCACAGUGGUCGUGGUGGGUGGAAAUCCAGAACAGGCACUGUGUCUAAUUGCUGGUAACCUAUGGAUGGAGGGAGCUGUGGUGCCUAUCUGGUCCCAGUUUAUAAAUAAAUGAACAUUCAUUAACGUAAAAUUAAAUUAGACUGAAAUUUCCCAUCCAGUUUUGUUUAGAAGGCAGAAAUAACUGGGUUGGCUGUGUAAUUUUGCUGCAGAUGCUGGAGCAUGUAGUCACAAGGUGAUAAUAAUAAUAGUAAUUUGCUCUUUGUUGGUGCCUUCGUCCCCAGAUCUCAAGGCAGAUAUUACCACCUUGCUUUUGCAAAGGUUCACUGAGGUGAAAGGGCUAGCUAGAAGUUACUCAUCAAGGGGUUGAGUGCAGAGGCCUUAAAACUCUUUGGCCCAUUAGACCUUGAGCUUGUCAGUAAACAGAAAGUGGAACAGGAUCCAGGAGACCAGAAUUCCAGGCCUUGCUCUGUGUGGGUAAAAUUGUAACUUAUCCAGAAUACCUCCCUGGGCUUUAGUACAUAUGCACAUCAACAGGAGGAGCUCAAGGGUGGAGAGAAGUACGGCUUUAGUGGAUUUGCGUAAUUCCUCAGGAGUGGAGAGAACUUUAUCUCCGUAUCAGUGGGUAAUUACCUGGGCAACCGAGGGCUUCUCUGUACCUGAGAUGUGAGGAGGAGGGUCGGUUUUGCUGCUGCUGGAGCAGGAGAGAGAUGGGUCGGACUGGGACUGAAGUUUGUAAGCAAUAAAUGGGUUUUAAACUUUAUUUCUCCCUUUGACUGAUUCCAGCUUUUAGAGGUAUUUUGCACCGAGGUGUCCUUUCCCCAGACUUACAGUCUGCCACUGACUCAGUGUGUGGGCAAAAAAACGCCAUCUCUCUGGGCCUCAGUUUCCUCACCUAUCAUGGAAGGACUGGCACAGACAUUCCAGUUCUAUGAGUCUUAAGUUAAUAUUUAAACAGAGAACUUACAAAGGCACAGCUUUUGCUGCUGUAUGCACCAUUUAGAGCAACUCCCUCUGAAUUUUGUUUUUCCCCUUUUAUGGCAACACCUGAGUCUGACCUUUGGAAAUUAAAAUAUUAAAA